rnacentral:lncRNA from 1 species
UAAGGUUAAGGAUGGAUUUAGAACUUGUGAACAUGGAAGGGGAGCAGAUAGAGUUUUCUAUAUGGCUUAGCUCUCCUUCACUUGAUAUGUCAUCCUCGACUUCUUCAUAACAGGAACCAGGACAUUCUCUAAGAGAACCAUCAUUGCAAGGAUUUGAAUUAUCUAUGCUUGAAAGUCUCUUAUGGAACUAGAAGUCUAAACCA